rnacentral:rRNA from 1 species
GAUGAACGCUGGCGGCGUGCCUAAUACAUGCAAGUCGAGCGAACAGACGAGGAGCUUGCUCCUCUGAUGUUAGCGGCGGACGGGUGAGUAACACGUGGAUAACCUACCUAUAAGACUGGGUUAACUUCGGGAAACCGGAGCUAAUACCGGAUAACAUGUUGAACCGCAUGGUUCAACAGUGAAAGACGGUCUUGCUGUCACUUAUAGAUGGAUCCGCGCCGCAUUAGCUAGUUGGUAAGGUAACGGCUUACCAAGGCAACGAUGCGUAGCCGACCUGAGAGGGUGAUCGGCCACACUGGAACUGAGACACGGUCCAGACUCCUACGGGAGGCAGCAGUAGGGAAUCUUCCGCAAUGGGCGAAAGCCUGACGGAGCAACGCCGCGUGAGUGAAGAAGGUCUUCGGAUCGUAAAACUCUGUUAUUAGGGAAGAACAAAUGUGUAAGUAACUAUGCACGUCUUGACGGUACCUAAUCAGAAAGCCACGGCUAACUACGUG